UAUCAUUAUUGUUUGAUACUCGGGGUGCUGGUCAGCUUUUAGUUAUAUGUGUAUGUAGGAAUAAAGAAAGUGUUAAUUUAUGAUUCGAAUUUUCAAGAUUGGUCCAAACGUUAACGAAGAAAUAAUUGAAAACAACGGAUUAACAUAUAUAACAGUACCUCUAUUAGUAUUUUGGACAACGUCAGGUGGCCUACAUAUACACUAAAGUAGAUUAAAACAAUGAAGAAUAAUGUUAAUAUGAGUGUUGCGUGGAUUGGAGCCAAAAAAAAAGAGACGCAAAAACAUUCUAUUUCGAAAGUGUGGUUCACUUUGAUUUUUGAAACUUUGACAAAACACACAUUUUUAUAUAAAGAGCCGAAAUCAAAUGAAGAAGUCCUCUUGGCAACAGUUAACAUUUUAUUGAGAAAAAAAUGAACAAUAAUAAUCCGAAAAAGAAAUAGAAGAAAAGAGAAAAACAUGAAGAACAUACAGAAGAAAGAAAAAAAGAUACAAAGGGAGCAAUAAAUUAUGAGCAGAAGAGGAAACAGGAAAUACGGUUCUCAAAUCAUUUACUCAUAACACUGAAAAGUUAGCAACACGAAUUCCAGAAUGACCUGGGGUGAAAGUUCACCGACUUAUUUACACUUCUUGCACCCGGAAAGUAGAAUGGAAUAGUCUAUUGGGCAGAUGACAGCCAAUCAGAAAUGACUUCCUCGUAGUAUUUAUAGUCAGUUUCAUUGUUUUAUUCCAAAGGGUCUAGAGAACAUACAACUGAUUAUUCAGGGAGGCAAAUGAAGGCACCAGUAGUAAACCGCUGUUCAGAAGUCAUAACUCGAUUGAGAGAAACACACAAAUCCGUGUUACAAACUAAAUAAAGGCAACAGUAGUAUACCGCUGUUCAAAACUCGUAAAUCUAUGGACAAAAACAAAAUUGGGGUAACAAACUAAAACAGAGGGAAACGCAUUAAAUAUAAGGAACGACACAACAUUAAAAUGUAACACACACAGAAACGGACUAAGCAUUAGACAAAAUCCGAUGAGACUAACAAAUAUAACAUCAAAACCAAAUACAUGAAUUUGGGAUAGAAAAGUACCGUAACACGUCUUAUAGUAAUGUGAAUUCACACUCAAAUAUAUGAGAAAACAAACGACACAACGGAAACACAACGUAAAAAUGUUACACACACAGAAACGAACUGUAAUAUAACAAUGGCCAUUUUCCUGACAUGGUACAGGACAUGUUUAAAGAUAAAAAUUGAGGGUUGAACCUGGUUUGGUGGCAUGCCAAACCUCGCACUUUAAUGGCAAUGUUAAAUAUAACAUUAAAAUGACAACAUAAUAUUACAGGACUACAAUACAAAUAAAUAGGGGAACGUAUUAGACAAAGAUACACAUGAUUAACAGAUAACAAAAGGCAUCAGGUUUAAAAUUCAAUAUGCCAAAAAACGCGCCUCGUCCACACAAGACUCACAGUGACGCCCAGAUAUAAAACCGAGGGAAACCAAUUAACUAUAAGAUGAAAAUAACGAAACAACAGAAACACUGAAGUGCAAUAAAAAAAAUUAAAAAUGCAACAUACACAGAAACUAACUAUAAGAUAAAAACAGCCAUUUUCCUGACUCAUUACAGGACAUUUUAGGAGAAAAAUUGUGGCAAAGCUCAUUAUUUAGCUGAAAAUGCUGGGGCCACUAAUGUAAGAAAAAGUUCCCUAUAUUUGCUCUAAAAUCUAUGCAAGAGACAAAUACUCUUAUCGUAUCAAAAAUUGAAAUACUUCAUUGUAUAUGAAUUGCAACUUACAUUUAUAUAGUUGUUUUUUAGUUCUUUUCCCGUAUAUCUGGGAACACCUACAGUAAAUAAAAGCCGAUGACCAUAUUAUUGCCGUUAAGUAACCGAAAGCUAUUAGUUGGUUGUAGUUUUAGAUUUGUUUAUUGUUAUUUUUAUUUAUUUGUCAUUUGCGUAAAAAUAGUCAAAAACGCAAACUUUGUUGGAUAUUUCAUUAAACAAAAAACAAACUGUAAAGGUGCAGGAUUCUGAAUCAGUAAAUUAUACAAACUAUUUUGAUGACGCAUAUUUUCAAUAAAUUAAAACAAAUAAUUGUCUAUGCUGAAUUAAAAGAAAAUAUAUACAUUGUAUAUCAAGUGACAUUUAUAUGGCCAAUAAGUAAUUAGUAACGUUUAUAAAUACAUAAAUUCUUGCAGAACACAGAGAUGUAUAUCAAUUUAUCAU